rnacentral:lncRNA from 1 species
CUGCUCCUGUCCCUCCCCGCAUGAGAAGCUAGCCCAGACACACCUGCCCCAGCCAGGAAAGAUCUUGCUCCCAAAGAAGCACCUUGUGUUCAGCCUGCUUCCCACAAAGAAGAGUGUGCAAAUCCACCUCUGUCGCCGUCUUCCGGGAACUUCGCCUGGCCGCGGCUAGGAUCUUCCUGCACAGAGGCCGGCCAGAUCCAGCCCCUCCCAUCCCUGGCUUUGAGGACAGCACAGCAGUGUGGCCUCCCUGUGUCCACCUCGCGAGCUGAGUGGAGCCCAUGGCCCGUGAGAGCCCAGGGGAAGGUGCUGUGGUCCGAGCUGCCCAGGACAGGCCCUGCACCUGUGCAAAGCAACGCUGCAUUCGUAGCUGGAAACUGCAAAGGAGGUGGAAAUUACUCGGCUGCUUCAUCCAGAAUCAGAAUCAGCGCUGGCAAAGUCAGGCCACCUCUUAAGAAAGCAGGUGUGGUGCAGUCUCUGGGCACCUCCGUGGUCUGUGCCUGGCAUCCACGGCCCCAGUGUCCCAGGCCACCUCUCCUAAUGCUGCCUUGCCAUGGUCCCCAGGGCCACCCCACUGUCCCCACCGACCCCAGGCCACUGCUUCCUCCCCAGCUCUCUGAACAGGGUCUGUGUCUCCUCCGACUGCAGAGCACAGCACACGACUGACCAUUCCAACUCAGCAUGGCUGCGCUUCCUGCUCAGGGUCCUGUGAGGCUGGGAGCUGGGUGUGGAUCAUUGUCUGGGGCUCCCACCUCCAUCAGCACCAAUCCACUGGGGCUGGGGCUCACCAAAUAGCCUUCCCCCCACCAGGGGCCCUCCCUGGAGAACCCCAUGUUUGUCUCAAAAACAAAAACAAACAACAAACAAACAAAAAACACCAUAAAGGGCUGGGGCUGUAGCUCAGGGUGGAGGCUCUGGUUCAACCCCAGCACUAAGGGGAGAGAGGAAAGAUAUACUACAGGAUCCUAUUUUCUUCCUCUCUUACCGUCCACCUGGGAAGCAGGAAUUCCUGGGCUUACCCAGCAUCUGUCACACUGUUAGGUAUUUACAAAAGUGACUUGUAUGGCUUUAGACACACCCCUUCCUCUUUCCUGGCCUCAGUUUCCCUGGAUCUCGUAGGAAGAGCCUUAGCUUUCAAAGCACCAUAUUCCGUCCUUCUGCCUGGCCCCUCCAAGCUGCCAACGAUGGGCUUUUGGAAGGUCUCAUCUUCAUGACCAAGAGCUUCCCAGGGAUUUGAACCCUCUCCAGGGUGACACGAUGGGGCCCUGAGCACGUUAGCCUUGGUGGGACCCUUCCUCCAUUAUAAAGGAAAUAACAACAAUAUUUUGUUGUUUUUUUUAUGACAAGGUCUUACUAUGUAUUCCAGGCUGGCCUUGAACUCACUAUGUAGCCCAGGCUGGCCUCAAAUUUGAGGCAACCCUCCUGCCUCAGCCUUGAGAAAUAGGAGUACAGGUAUAGGCCACCACACCCAGUUAGAAUGAC